rnacentral:rRNA from 1 species
UGAACGCUAGCGGGAGGCUUAAUACAUGCAAGUCGAGGGGUAACAUAGAAGCUUGCUUCUGAUGACGACCGGCGAACGGGUGAGUAACGCGUACACAACCUACCUUCAAGUGGGGGAUAGCCUCGGGAAACUGAGAUUAAUACCCCAUGUGAUUAACUUAUAGUAUGAUUGGUUAAUUAAAGUUCCGGCGCUUGAAGAUGGGUGUGCGUCCCAUUAGGUAGUUGGUGAGGUAACGGCUCACCAAGCCGACGAUGGGUAGGGGGCGUGAGAGCGUGGCCCCCCACACGGGUACUGAGACACGGACCCGACUCCUACGGGAGGCAGCAGUAAGGAAUAUUGGACAAUGGAGGAAACUCUGAUCCAGCUAUCCCGCGUGCAGGAUGACGGCCCUACGGGUUGUAAACUGCUUUUGUCAGGGACGAAACCCUUGGAUUUACUCCGAGGCUGACGGUACCUGAAGAAUAAGCACCGGCUAACUCC